UUUUUUCAACAGAGGGCGCUAUAUAUCAGACAGGAUACGCAACGGCGGGAUGCACAACGUGGAUAUCCAGAAAUAUACUGGAGUUUACUACCAGCUUUGAGUAUUGGCUUGUGAUCUGACCUCCAAGCUCACCGUCAUAGUAUACCACACACCUCUCCAUGUCACCAUGCUGUCUGCUUUGAUGUCAAGGAAUUUCUGCUACAUCAUCACAAGUUUUUAGGUCAACCUGACCUUGAAGGAUGGCAUCUUACCCCUGGCAUUGGGUUCGCAUUGCUUGGUGCCUGCAUUCACUGUCUUCAUUGGCUAGCACCUGCUUGUGGGACAAGGUUAAUGGACAAACCAAUUCAAUUGGAGGGCAACUUUAGCAGACAGCUGUUAAGAAGUUAACAUCCAGCCUGUUCCUACUUAUUCAUCUCUUUGCCAUCAACCUUUCAAGACGAUAUUACUAAUUGAUUAAGAGAAGAGUUACAACGUAUGCAUCCAAAAAUUGGAUUACAUUGAGAACGCAUCUGUGCUGGUCUCUGUACUGACACCAUUGUGCUGUCAUAGGAGGGAGCCAGCAGAUAGACCACGCCCACCCAUUUCACUUGGUCACUCAUUUGGUGGUUAUUAAAGGACACCAUUCAGGUUGACAGCGUGUGCUGAUGAACAGUUGACCGACGGAGCAGGAAAUUCAUGAAGGCAGUAAAGGGGUGCUAUUCACAAUUCAGCAUGCAGCCUUACAUGUACAUGUACUGUACGUGUACGUCGUGUCUCAAAUCGUCAAUUUGAUGUAAUCAGGAAUUGUGAAGUUUCUGUGCUCUCUACAGUUUGAGAGAGUCACUAAAGCACACAGAUAGACAGCCUGAAGUCAUUAGAGAUUGGCUGAAGACAUAGACAGGCUGAAGUUAGCAGUGGUGCUGAAGUUGAAAGAGGUAGACGUGCUGAAGUCGGCCGAGGUGGAUACGCUGAAGGUAGAGGUAGACAGGAUGAUGUCAGCAGAAAUAGAUGUGCUAAAGUCGGCAGAGGUGGUCACGCCGACAGUGGAGGUGUACAGGCUGACAUCAGCAGAGGUGCACAAGCUGAUGGCAGAGGUACAUGUAGUCAGUCAGAGAGUUGAAAUCGUCAGAGGAAGACCAGCUGAUGUUGGCAAAGAAACUGAAGUGAGACUAGACGCCAUCCAGUCUAUGCUGCUUUCUUUAGGAUGUCACAGCGAUGUGAAUGAUACCAGUCCCCACUACGCAGCUGUUUGAGAAGCUCUUCCAUCUCAGUGGAUGCCUUUCCGCCCAUGUAUUCAGUGACCGGGGAAUCCCAUCCUGGACAACCCAUGUAAGGAUUUGAGUAUUGUGUCUCGUCGCUGAUGCUACAUUUGUGGAUGUUUUCCUACCAACAUCACCGCUCCAUGGAUGGUGCUGUUAUGUUGUUUCUCCAUGAGGACUUGAUGCCCAACCAUCGUAUGUGUGUCACCUGUCUCUCGAUGCCAUUGAUGUUAUGCUCCGGCAUAUGCCUUGCCAUCGAUACCACUUCCUAGUGCGACUUUUCUGCAGUGGUCCCUUCUGUGUCAGUGUUGCAUCUCGCGAAUUUUCAAAUGCAGGUAUUGUGUGGCUUCUCAUAGUUUGCUAGCUAUUGAGGGG